rnacentral:rRNA from 1 species
AUUGAACGCUGGCGGCAGGCCUAACACAUGCAAGUCGAGCGAGCGGCGGACGGGUGAGUAAUGUAUGGGGACUGCCCGAUAGAGGGGGAUAACUACUGGAAAAGGUGGCUAAUACCGCAUACUAUCGGAUAACCCAUAUGUGAUUAGCUAGUAGGUGGGGUAAAGGCUCACCUAGGCUAAGAUCUCUAGCUGGUCUGAGAGGAUGAUCAGCCAUACUGGGACGGAGACACGGCCCAGAUUCCAACGGAGGCAGCAGUGGGGAAUAUUGGACAAUGGGCGCAAGCCUGAUGCAGCCAGGCCGCUGGUAUGAAGAAGGCCUUAGGGUUGUAAAGUACUGUCAGCGGGGAGGCGUUACCCGCAGAAGAAGCACCGGCUAACUCCGUGCCAGCAGCCGCGGUAAUUC